rnacentral:sRNA from 1 species
UGACUAGUUGGCCGGCUCUCCCAGGGUAAACGGUUUUCAGAACCAGAUUUGUGUAACUGGGUGUUUUGGCGGUCGACUUCUGCACUCUAGCAGGGAAACAGUUUUUAUCUCCUGAAGUUCGAUGGCGAUACCCCUUCACAGUCCAAGCAUCCUUCCAGCCACAGGCAAAACGAACUCGAUAUUAUUCGAUAUCUGAGUCUCCUGCGGGGACAACCAAGCGCUUCCUUACGGACUCGGGAAAAUUUCUCUUCUACGGAGUACGCAUGAUAGAAAGAUUAUCUAGCCAAUUUCGUGGCCAAUGAUUUCUUGGGAGAAUAUACGUGUAUAUCGUUAUGGUAUCCGCCCGAAAGCAACCAAUAGUACUAUGCAUAAAUGUACUAAGAAGGGGAAAUUUGACCCUAGUAGGUUACUUCUCCCCUAGGUUAUUGUGCCCUGCGAACUGGCUUGGAUUGUGAACGUAUUGAAGACGAUCGAAGUGUUCUGGAAAUGAACCUGGCAGGUAUCCAGGAAGGAGGAAUCACAAUCACACAUUGCCAAGAGUAACUAAUAUCUUUAGACAACAUAGCCUCUCCAUAUGGAAUAUGUUGUGUGUAGGGAUCUCUACAUAGUACUGUCCAUCUACAAGUCCUUGCACACACUAGAAAUAUAAAUGGAAAUCUCAAUACUGGAUCUCGAAAAAGUCCAGCCCUCACCUCCAAUACAGUGGGAGUAUAUUGCAUAUGACACAGCC